GAUGAACGCUGGCGGCGUGCCUAAUACAUGCAAGUCGAGCGAACGGACGAGAAGCUUGCUUCUCUGAUGUUAGCGGCGGACGGGUGAGUAACACGUGGAUAACCUACCUAUAAGACUGGGAUAACUUCGGGAAACCGGAGCUAAUACCGGAUAAUAUUUUGAACCGCAUGGUUCAAAAGUGAAAGACGGUCUUGCUGUCACUUAUAGAUGGAUCCGCGCUGCAUUAGCUAGUUGGUAAGGUAACGGCUUACCAAGGCAACGAUGCAUAGCCGACCUGAGAGGGUGAUCGGCCACACUGGAACUGAGACACGGUCCAGACUCCUACGGGAGGCAGCAGUAGGGAAUCUUCCGCAAUGGGCGAAAGCCUGACGGAGCAACGCCGCGUGAGUGAUGAAGGUCUUGGAUCGUAAAACUCUGUUAUUAGGGAAGAACAUAUGUGUAAGUAACUGUGCACAUCUUGACGGUACCUAAUCAGAAAGCCACGGCUAACUACGUG
rnacentral:rRNA from 1 species